rnacentral:piRNA from 1 species
UGGGUUCAGGAGGCGGGACUCAGAGC